UUCUGCCUCUUCUUGACUCUUUACAGUGAGCAAAUUUUUAAUGAAGGCUUGUAGUGCCUAAAUGUAGAUGCAGUUCUCAACUGAGACAUGGCUGAGUAGUGUCUUGCAGGCAAUACUUCUUGAUCUAUCAGAGUUCUGCUUUUCAUUUUUUGUAUUACCAUGAUUUGACAAUUCAUGUUCCUCUUGUGAGUCACUAUAAUGUCAAGACUCUUUCUGCUGAGCUAUUAAUGGUCAGUUAGCCAGCUGCACCCCGUCUUAUUUUUCAGACCAGAUCUCAGACACAUGAAAGCCUUGUGAAGGAUCUACUUCAGUACAUUUGAAGCUUCGCAAAUAGGUGGUGGCUGCAGAGUUGAUAUUCUACUAUCCAAGAAAUAAGUGAUAAUACCAAAGUAACUACAACCAGCAGAGAAGUCCACAGAGUCCUCAGUGUAUUCUCCUAUUUUGACACCCACCAAGACUGAUCCACUGGAGCCAGCCUGCACAUAUCUGAGCUUUCAGGGAGACAAAGAAAAACACAGGACCAUCUAAGAAGGCCAACUGUCUGUAAAAACAUUCAGCUGCUACUGUGAGUCAUUUAACUGAAAAAGGUGGAAAGAGAGGAUACCCUAAAAGAAAAUGCUUCUGUACUCAAUUAAAAGUUUCUUUAAAUUCUAAAAGCAGAUUUAUUUUUAGUUUUUAAUUUGAACAAAUGAUGUAAUCUCGCACUACUGACCAUGACUUUUGUAAAUUCUACAAUUUAUCCUACAGUUCCCAUGGUUUGUAACACCAUCAUCACAAUCCCAU